CCUACGGGAGGCAGCAGUGGGGAAUCUUGCGCAAUGGGCGAAAGCCUGACGCAGCCAUGCCGCGUGAAUGAUGAAGGUCUUAGGAUUGUAAAAUUCUUUCAGUAGGGACGAUAAUGACGGUACCUACAGAAGAAGCCCCGGCUAACUUCGUGCCAGCAGCCGCGGUAAUACGAAGGGGGCUAGCGUUGCUCGGAAUUACUGGGCGUAAAGGGAGCGUAGGCGGGUUAUCAAGUUGGAGGUGAAAGCCCAGGGCUCAACCUUGGAAUAGCCUUCAAAACUGAUAACCUAGAGGAUGGAAGAGGUAAGUGGAACUCCGAGUGUAGAGGUGAAAUUCGUAGAUAUUCGGAAGAACACCAGUGGCGAAGGCGACUUACUGGUCCAUUACUGACGCUGAGGCUCGAAAGCGUGGGGAGCAAACAGGAUUAGAUACCCUGGUAGUCCACGCUGUAAACGAUGAUUGCUAGUUGUCGGCAGCAUGCUGUCGGUGACGCAGCUACGACAUUAAGACAACUACCGCCGUCGGGUAGGUACGGUCGGCGAAGAAUUAAACUAACAAAGAAGUUAGUACGGACGUGAGACGACGCCGACGGACGACGACGAGGGAGGUAGG
rnacentral:rRNA from 1 species